GUCCACGCCGUAAACGAUGGAUGCUAGCCGUCGGCAAGCUUGCUUGUCGGUGGCGCAGCUAACGCAUUAAGCAUCCCGCCUGGGGAGUACGGCCGCAAGGUUAAAACUCAAAGGAAUUGACGGGGGCCCCGCACAAGCGGUGGAGCAUGUGGUUUAAUUCGACGCAACGCGAAGAACCUUACCAGCCCUUGACAUGUCUGGACGGUUUCCAGAGAUGGAUUCCUCCUAGCAAUAGGUCGGAACACAGGUGCUGCAUGGCUGUCGU
rnacentral:rRNA from 1 species